GGUUUAAGGGAGCUGAUUUGAAGCAGGCAAUGUAGAUGAUAGUCCUUCAGAUUAUGCGUAUAAGCAGUGUCACUGGCGUGAUCUUUCUAAUCUAAGUUUCUGUGUCUGUUUUACAGAACUGUUAACGCCAGUUUGGGAGCAGGAGGAUGCCGCUCGAAGGUCAAACCUGUGAAAGCGAAGCCUGCUUGCGACACCAAGAGCUCUGCGUGAACUUGGCUUUAACUUCAGAAGCGGGGGAGCUGCGCGGGGAGGGCGGCCAGAGGAGAUAGCGCAGCACCCGCUGAAACACUUCCAUUCGCUUUCUGCGGUGAGACGCCUGAACUUCGUGCCUAAAAUACAAAGCUGAAGCCCCUGCCACGAGGAACGACUGCCUUCUGUGCUGAUGACAGAUCUGCUGCUCUGUUAUCAGGCACUGCUCUUUUGCCAUCUCAGUUUCAAACAACUGCCUCUGCUUGAGAGCCGCAGAGCAGCCGUGUUGGACACACCAGGCCUCGGAGGAGGAGGAGGAGGAGGAGGAUGGACGACACUGAGUGAUUUCCUUCGACACGGCUGGGGCUCUGAGGAAUAUCUGCUGAGGUCUUGGCGUGCCCAAGGACCUCCAGGGCUCCUUUGCAGCGCAGCCUCGGGUGCUGCACUGCAGCGAAUGAAACCAUCCGUGGGAGAGGGCUCCAAGGAGCACUCUGGGAAGGUUCUUUGGCAGUGCCGGCAGGCAUGUUUGACUCAACGGAGAAGAUCUCAUCCUGGGACCUGCUGGCUCUCUAUCCAAGUCUGUGGCUCUGUCUGCUGCACGCUGAUUGACCGAGAGACGACCAUGGCAUGCGUUAGCAGAUACUCUCCUAUGUUCCUGAGCUGA
rnacentral:lncRNA from 1 species